UACGUAGGGCGCAAGCGUUGUCCGGAAUUAUUGGGCGUAAAGAGCUCGUAGGCGGCUUGUCACGUCGGGUGUGAAAGCCCGGGGCUUAACCCCGGGUCUGCAUUCGAUACGGGCAGGCUAGAGUGUGGUAGGGGAGAUCGGAAUUCCUGGUGUAGCGGUGAAAUGCGCAGAUAUCAGGAGGAACACCGGUGGCGAAGGCGGAUCUCUGGUCCAUUACUGACGCUGAGGAGCGAAAGCGUGGGGAGCGAACAGG
rnacentral:rRNA from 1 species